rnacentral:rRNA from 1 species
AGGCAGCAGUGGGGAAUCUUGCACAAUGGAGGAAACUCUGAUGCAGCGAUGCCGCGUGAGUGAAGAAGGCCUUUGGGUUGUAAAGCUCUUUCGUCGGGGAAGAAAAUGACUGUACCCGAAUAAGAAGGUCCGGCUAACUUCGUGCCAGCAGCCGCGGUAAUACGAAGGGACCUAGCGUAGUUCGGAAUUACUGGGCUUAAAGAGUUCGUAGGUGGUUGAAAAAGUUAGUGGUGAAAUCCCAGAGCUUAACUCUGGAACUGCCAUUAAAACUUUUCAGCUAGAGUAUGAUAGAGGAAAGCAGAAUUUCUAGUGUAGAGGUGAAAUUCGUAGAUAUUAGAAAGAAUACCAAUUGCGAAGGCAGCUUUCUGGAUCAUUACUGACACUGAGGAACGAAAGCAUGGGUAGCGAAGAGGAUUAGAUACCCUCGUAGUCCAUGCCGUAAACGAUGUGUGUUAGACGUUGGAAAUUUAUUUUCAGUGUCGCAGGGAAACCAAUAAACACACCGCCUGGGGAGUACGACCGCAAGGUUGAAACUUAAAGGAAUUGACGGA